AAAAUAAUCCUACCCUUUGUGAAUUUUGUUUGUUUGAAUAAUUUUUUUUUUUAAAAAAUUAUUGGAGUCUUUCCCUUUAGAGUUUGCUUUUGAGUUUGUAAAAGAAUUCGAAAACAUCUAAAGGGGAUGGUCAAUAAUUUUUUUGAAAAAAGACAUUUUUUAAAAUUAAACUUUUGUAUUCAUUUGUCUAAAAAUUAUUUUUAUAAUAUAAAAACAACUUUUGACAAUGGAUCUCUUGGUUCUCGCAACGAUGAAGAACGCAGCAAAAUGCGAUAAGUAGUGUGAAUUGCAGAAUACGUGAAUCAUCGAAUCUUUGAACGCAUAUUGCACUUUUUUAGUUUACUAAAAAAGUAUGUCUGUUUGAGUAUCAGUAAAAUAUUCUCAUAAAAAUCAUUGUGUAUUUUUAUGGUUAUGAGUGUUUUACAACGAUACAAGUUGUUUCACUUUAAAUUUUUUUUAAUAUUGAAAUUUUUCUAAUUUUAAUAAUUAAAAUUGGAUAAAAUUUUCCCGUCAAAAGGAAUAACCUAAACAAUUUUAAAUGAUUAAUUUUAGCAAAAUUUUCGAAAAAAAGGAAAAUUUUUAUUAAAAUAACUUGAUCUCAAAUCAGAUAAGAGUACCCGCUGAACUUAAGCAUAUCAAUAAGCGGAGGAAAAGAAACUAACAAGGAUUCCCUUAGUAACGGCGAGUGAAGCGGGAAGAGCUCAAAUUUGAAAUCUUCAAGGUUUUACCUUGACGAAUUGUAGUUUAAAGAAGUGUUUUCUGCUGAAGUUUUGGUAAAAGUUCUUUGGAAUAGGACAUCAUAGAGGGUGAGAAUCCCGUAUUUGACCAUUAUUUUCAGCUUUGUGAUACACUUUCAAAGAGUCGGAUUGUUUGGGAAUGCAGUCCAAAAUGGGUGGUAAAUUUCAUCUAAAGCUAAAUAUUGGCGAGAGACCGAUAGCGAACAAGUACCGUGAGGGAAGAUGAAAAGAACUUUGAAAAGAGAGUUAAACAGUACGUGAAAUUGUCAAAAGGGAAGCGUUUGACACCAGCGUUGUUUUCUCGAAAAUCAAUUAAAAAUGGCUCGAUUUGUAUUGCUGAGACCUUAAAAGCUCACUGUACAUUUUUCGUGUCUUUUUUAAUGCACUUUUCGUUUAACAAGUCAACAUCAGUUUCUUUUGUUGUAAAAGGGUCAUUGGAAGGUGGCUUUCUUUUCGGAGAAAGUGUUUAUAGCCUUUGGCCUCUGCAAUCGAAGAGACUGAGGUCUGCAGCGUAGACUCUUCGGGGUUAGAUACAUUUGUGCUAAGUUAUAGCUUUUUAUAGACAACUUGUUGACUAUAAUUAGUCUUGUAGCUUACUCGCUUAUGCUAUUUUACCUACGCUUAGGAUG
rnacentral:misc_RNA from 1 species